UCUGUCUCUAUAUAAAAAAAACAUAAAAAAAAAAAAAAAAAAUAAAAAAAAAAAUAAAAAAAAAAUAUAUAUAUAUAUAAUUAUGAAUCGUCUCCGAUCAAUCAAAGAGGAUAAAUUUAUUUUAUUCAAGAAAUGAGAUCGCAAAUAUCAAAGCAAACAAGCUAUAUAUACAUAUACAUAUAUAUAUAUAUAUAUAUAUAUAUAUAUAUAUAUAUAUAUAUAUAUAUGUAUAUAUAUAGGGGUCCACGAUGAUGAUGAUGAUGAUGAUGAUGAUGAUGAUGAUGAUGAUGAUGAUGAUGAUAAUGAUAUGAUGAUGAUGAUGAUGAUGAUGAUGAUGAUGAUGAUGAUGAUGAUGAUGAUGAUGAUGAUGAUGAUGAUGAUGAUGAUGAUGAUGAUGAUGAUGAUGUAUCUAAAGGAAAGCAAGGUAACUAGAAAUAAGUUGCUAACGGAGAUGAAAAUUAAGAAAAAGAGCAUGUGUGUGACUAUUAUUUUGUAUUAAACACAUUGUAAAUAAUUAAUGAACUUAUUGAUAAUAUGCGUCAAACGAUUAAGCAAUGUGAUGAUUAUACGUAUGCAUGCCUAAAUGAAUGCCCCGCCCAACCCCCGCCCCCUACUCUCUGCCCCCUAAGUCGUGAUAAUGAUAAGUUUAACUUGUCCAAAAUGUUAGAGUAUUAGAUGAAAAUGACACCAUCGGUCGCUUCUAAGAAAUAUUUAGAUGCAUCAUUUGUGUAGAAGAGAGAGAGAGAGAGAGAGAGAGAGAGAGAGAGAGAGAGAGAGAGAGAGAGAGAGAGAGAGAAUGAGAGAGAGAGAAAGAAAGAAGAGAGAUAGAUUUACUCAGGUAAAGUGCACACCUUUUAGGCACAUAAUAUGAGAAGUGCCAAAUUUGAGAUCAUUCAAAGAUCCAUAAAAGAUCACAAUGACGAAUGAUGAUAAAGUUCUGAACGUUUAUCGAACGUUCGUUCUGAAGAAGAAGAAAAAAAAAAUGAAGAAAAAAAAGAAAGAAAACAGAAAAAAGAAAGAGAGAAAAAAAAAGGAAAAGACAAAACAGGCUUCAUAUUAUGAAUCAACAAACAAAUCAUAUUUUGAAACGAUAUUUUGUUUCGAUUAUUAGAUAAACCUAAAAAUCAUUGAUUUCUAUUGAAUUAAUAACACCUACCUCCUUGGAGAGUUACAUAGUCGAGCUUGAAAAUGUCUGAAAAAAAAAAAAACGAAAACAAAAAAAAUUAUUAACACAGUAUCUUCUCAGGAGUAAUUCAUUAUAUAUUCUCAUACAUACGUAUGUUGUGUAAUGAUAAAAUAAUUAAUGAUACAUUUUAUGUUUUAAUCUAUAACAGCCCACAGAGUUCUAUAAUUGAUACACACACACACACACACAUACACACACACAUAUAUACACGUAUACACAUACACACACACAUACAUACAAACACACAAACACACAACACAAACAAGACAUGCAUAUGCGUCCUCGCGCAUCUCUCAGAUCAUUUUACUAUAGUUAUUAUUCUCUACUAAGUAGAAUAAAAAAAAAAAAGACAUACGAACAACAAAGAAAAUAAUAAUAAUAAUAGUAGACUCUUAUAUACUUGUGAUAGAAACUGAGAGUAACUUAAAAAAAAAA